rnacentral:lncRNA from 1 species
CGACUUACAAGGGUGUGAAAAAUGGGCUCGAUAUUAAAUCGAGAAAAGUAUGAUUUUUAUAGUUUGAAAAAAAUGGUUUUUGAACUAUGCAUUUACUAACAAAUGAAAUUAUAAUAGACAUAAAAAAAAGAUAUUAACAAAAUACUAAAAGAAUAAAAAAUGCUAAAAGAAAAAUAAUACAACUAAGAGAAAUAAAAAUGCCAAAAAAAGCCACACAUGAGUGUUGAACCCACCCCACUCAAGAAUAUGCACACUGCCCUUCUCCACCAGACCACUCAGGGUUAUCUACUACUAAGACACUACAUUAAAUAUAUGAACCGGGCUAAAAAACAAAAAAAUAAAUAACAUAUAAACAUUUUAUAUUUCUCUUUAUCUCCGUUAAGACUCAGUAAAAUAAACUAAAAAAUAAAAAAAUAAAAAAUUAAAAAAGAAAAGAAAGAAAAUAAAUGAAAACGAAAGAAAAACAACAGAGGUUCGUCUUCCUCCCUCUCUCUCUCGCAUCUCACCAGAAAAAC